rnacentral:rRNA from 1 species
GAUGAACGCUAGCGGCAGGCUUAACACAUGCAAGUCGAGGGGUAGGAGAAGCUUGCUUUUCUGAGACCGGCGCACGGGUGCGUAACGCGUAUGCAAUCUACCUUUCACAGAGGGAUAGCCCAGAGAAAUUUGGAUUAAUACCUCAUAGUAUAAUUGAAUGGCAUCAUUUAAUUAUUAAAGAUUUAUCGGUGAAAGAUGAGCAUGCGUCCCAUUAGCUAGUUGGUAUGGUAACGGCAUACCAAGGCAACGAUGGGUAGGGGUCCUGAGAGGGAGGUCCCCCACACUGGUACUGAGACACGGACCAGACUCCUACGGGAGGCAGCAGUGAGGAAUAUUGGACAAUGGGCGCAAGCCUGAUCCAGCCAUGCCGCGUGCAGGAUGACGGUCCUAUGGAUUGUAAACUGCUUUUAUACAGGAAGAAACACCUCUACGUGUAGAGACUUGACGGUACUGUAAGAAUAAGGAUCGGCUAACUCCGUGCCAGCAGCCGCGGUAAUACGGAGGAUCCAAGCGUUAUCCGGAAUCAUUGGGUUUAAAGGGUCCGUAGGCGGUCAGGUAAGUCAGUGGUGAAAGCCCAUCGCUCAACGGUGGAACGGCCAUUGAUACUGUCUGACUUGAAUUAUUAGGAAGUAACUAGAAUAUGUAGUGUAGCGGUGAAAUGCUUAGAGAUUACAUGGAAUACCAAUUGCGAAGGCAGGUUACUACUAAUUGAUUGACGCUGAUGGACGAAAGCGUGGGUAGCGAACAGGAUUAGAUACCCUGGUAGUCCACGCCGUAAACGAUGGAUACUAGCUGUUGGGAGCAAUCUCAGUGGCUAAGCGAAAGUGAUAAGUAUCCCACCUGGGGAGUACGAACGCAAGUUUGAAACUCAAAGGAAUUGACGGGGGCCCGCACAAGCGGUGGAGCAUGUGGUUUAAUUCGAUGAUACGCGAGGAACCUUACCAAGGCUUAAAUGUAGAUUGACCGGUUUGGAAACAG